UGGGGAAUUUUGGACAAUGGGCGAAAGCCUGAUCCAGCAAUGCCGCGUGUGUGAAGAAGGCCUUCGGGUUGUAAAGCACUUUUGUCCGGAAAGAAAUCCUUGGCUCUAAUACAGUCGGGGGAUGACGGUACCGGAAGAAUAAGCACCGGCUAACUACGUGCCAGCAGCCGCGGUAAUACGUAGGGUGCAAGCGUUAAUCGGAAUUACUGGGCGUAAAGCGUGCGCAGGCGGUUUGCUAAGACCGAUGUGAAAUCCCCGGGCUCAACCUGGGAACUGCAUUGGUGACUGGCAGGCUAGAGUAUGGCAGAGGGGGGUAGAAUUCCACGUGUAGCAGUGAAAUGCGUAGAGAUGUGGAGGAAUACCGAUGGCGAAGGCAGCCCCCUGAGCCAAUACUGACGCUCAUGCACGAAAGCGUGGGGAGCAAACAGGAUUAGAUACCCUGGUAGUCCACGCCCUAAACGAUGUCAACUAGUUGUUGGGGAUUCAUUUCCUUAGUAACGUAGCUAACGCGUGAAGUUGACCGCCUGGGGAGUACGGUCGCAAGAUUAAAACUCAAAGGAAUUGAC
rnacentral:rRNA from 1 species